GACGAACGCUGGCGGCGUGCCUAAUACAUGCAAGUAGAACGCUGAAGGAGGAGCUUGCUUCUCUGGAUGAGUUGCGAACGGGUGAGUAACGCGUAGGUAACCUGCCUGGUAGCGGGGGAUAACUAUUGGAAACGAUAGCUAAUACCGCAUAACAUUAACUAUUGCAUGAUAGUCAGUUAAAAGGUGCAAUUGCAUCACUACCAGAUGGACCUGCGUUGUAUUAGCUAGUUGGUGGGGUAACGGCUCACCAAGGCGACGAUACAUAGCCGACCUGAGAGGGUGAUCGGCCACACUGGGACUGAGACACGGCCCAGACUCCUACGGGAGGCAGCAGUAGGGAAUCUUCGGCAAUGGACGGAAGUCUGACCGAGCAACGCCGCGUGAGUGAAGAAGGUUUUCGGAUCGUAAAGCUCUGUUGUAAGAGAAGAACGAGUGUGAGAGUGGAAAGUUCACACUGUGACGGUAUCUUACCAGAAAGGGACGGCUAACUACGUG
rnacentral:rRNA from 1 species